AAGCAUCCAGGUCAGACAAAAGCGAUCCAUGGUCGAUAAAAUAACCCUUUCUAGGUUCAACUGAUUCCGAGGGCAGGAGGUUGUGUUCUGCCUGAGGUUGUACGGGCGUAACUCCUUCAAUCUUUGAUCACUGAUGACUAAGAAACAGACUGGUAAAGAUCUUGGACACUGCUGUCGUUCUUCCAUAAUUACCACAACCUCAUCCGUACAUUUUCUUUUACUUGGGGAUGCAUUAUAGGAUAUUUUACUAUGCACUACUAGUCUACUACUAGUGGCUAACACCUAAAUUACUUGUAUUGUAAUGCAUGUGUGUUGGAGUAAUUUGUAGUGCGCAAUUUCCAGAAAUACCACGCUUGAGAUAAACAUUAUGUGCCUGUAUGUAAUACAUUUAACGUAUUUUUGACUUGUACCACUAUUUUGUGCUGAGAAGAGAUGCAGUGACCUCUAACUUUGCUGAUGCUGCACAUGAUGAUGUGUGUUCAGUGAAUGAUUCUUCUUUUGAA